rnacentral:rRNA from 1 species
AAUGAACGCUGGCGGCGUGCUUAACACAUGCAAGUCGUGCGCGAAGGUGGCUUCGGCCACCGGAGAGCGGCGAACGGGUGAGUAACACGUGGGUAAUCUGCCUGGGAGCGGGGGAUAACCUGGGGAAACUCGGGCUAAUACCGCAUACGUUUUCGAGAUCACGGUCUCGUCAAGAAAGCUGGCCUCUGCUUGCAAGCUAGCACUCCCAGAGGAGCCCGCGGCUGAUUAGCUAGUUGGUGAGGUAAUGGCUCACCAAGGCGACGAUCAGUA